rnacentral:tRNA from 1 species
CGUCGGGCGGGUCGGCGGCAGCCGUUGCAGCUUGGCUCUGCGCUGGUGCAACCGCGACGGAUACGGGCGGUUCGAUCCGUCAGCCGGCGGC